GCUUGCUGGUGGAUUAGUGGCGAACGGGUGAAGUAACACGUGAGUAACCUGCCCUUGACUCUGGGAUAAGCCUGGGAAACUGGGUCUAAUACCGGAUAUGACCUUCCAUCGCAUGGUGGUUGGUGGAAAGCUUUUGUGGUUUUGGAUGGACUCGCGGCCUAUCAGCUUGUUGGUGGGGUAAUGGCCUACCAAGGCGACGACGGGUAGCCGGCCUGAGAGGGUGACCGGCCACACUGGGACUGAGACACGGCCCAGACUCCUACGGGAGGCAGCAGUGGGGAAUAUUGCACAAUGGGCGCAAGCCUGAUGCAGCGACGCCGCGUGAGGGAUGACGGCCUUCGGGUUGUAAACCUCUUUCAGUAGGGAAGAAGCGUAAGUGACGGUACCUGCAGAAGAAGCGCCGGCUAACUACGUGCCAGCAGCCGCGGUAAUACGUAGGGCGCAAGCGUUAUCCGGAAUUAUUGGGCGUAAAGAGCUCGUAGGCGGUUUGUCGCGUCUGCCGUGAAAGUCCGGGGCUCAACUCCGGAUCUGCGGUGGGUACGGGCAGACUAGAGUGAUGUAGGGGAGACUGGAAUUCCUGGUGUAGCGGUGAAAUGCGCAGAUAUCAGGAGGAACACCGAUGGCGAAGGCAGGUCUCUGGGCAUUAACUGACGCUGAGGAGCGAAAGCAUGGGGAGCGAACAGGAUUAGAUACCCUGGUAGUCCAUGCCGUAAACGUUGGGCACUAGGUGUGGGGGACAUUCCACGUUUUCCGCGCCGUAGCUAACGCAUUAAGUGCCCCGCCUGGGGAGUACGGCCGCAAGGCUAAAACUCAAAGGAAUUGACGGGGGCCCGCACAAGCGGCGGAGCAUGCGGAUUAAUUCGAUGCAACGCGAAGAACCUUACCAAGGCUUGACAUGAACCGGAAAGAUCUGGAAACAGGUCCCCCACUUGUGGUCGGUUUACAGGUGGUGCAUGGUUGUCGUCAGCUCGUGUCGUGAGAUGUUGGGUUAAGUCCCGCAACGAGCGCAACCCUCGUUCUAUGUUGCCAGCACGUGAUGGUGGGGACUCAUAGGAGACUGCCGGGGUCAACUCGGAGGAAGGUGGGGACGACGUCAAAUCAUCAUGCCCCUUAUGUCUUGGGCUUCACGCAUGCUACAAUGGCCGGUACAAAGGGUUGCGAUACUGUGAGGUGGAGCUAAUCCCAAAAAGCCGGUCUCAGUUCGGAUUGGGGUCUGCAACUCGACCCCAUGAAGUCGGAGUCGCUAGUAAUCGCAGAUCAGCAACGCUGCGGUGAAUACGUUCCCGGGCCUUGUACACACCGCCCGUCAAGUCACGAAAGUUGGUAACACCCGAAGCCGGUGGCCUAACCC
rnacentral:rRNA from 1 species